GAUGAACGCUGGCGGCAGGCUUAACACAUGCAAGUCGAGCGAGCGGCGGACGGGUGAGUAAUGUCUGGGAAACUGCCUGAUGGAGGGGGAUAACUACUGGAAACGGUAGCUAAUACCGCAUACCAUCAGAUGUUCCCAGAUGGGAUUAGCUAGUAGGUGGGGUAAGGGCUCAACGAGGCGACGAUCCCUAGCUUGUCUGAGAGGAUGACCAGCCACACUGGAACGGAGACACGGUCAAGACGCCUACGGGAGGAGGCAGUGGGGAAGAUUGCACAAUGGGCGCAAGCCUGAUGCAGCCAUGCCGCGUGUGUGAAGAAGGCCUUCGGGUUGUAAAGCACUUUCAGCGAGGAGGCGUUACUCGCAGAAGAAGCACCGGCUAACUCCGUGCCAGCAGCCGCGGUAAUUC
rnacentral:rRNA from 1 species